rnacentral:rRNA from 1 species
UACGUAGGGUGCAAGCGUUAAUCGGAAUUAUUGGGCGUAAAGCGUGCGCAGGCGGCUUUGCAAGACAGAUGUGAAAUCCUCGGGCUCAACCUGGGAACUGCAUUUGUGACUGCAUCGCUGGAGUGCGGCAGAGGGGGAUGGAAUUCCGCGUGUAGCAGUGAAAUGCGCAGAUAUCAGGAAGAACACCGAUGGCGAAGGCAGUUCUCUGGGACGGUACUGACGCUGAGACGCGAAAGCGUGGGGAGCGAACAGG